rnacentral:tRNA from 1 species
GCCCCGAUGGCACAGCUGGAUAGCGCGAUCCCCUCCUAAGGGAUAGGUCUCAGGUUCAAAUCCUGAUCGGGGCACCA